CCUACGGGGGGCAGCAGUGGGGAAUAUUGCACAAUGGGGGAAACCCUGAUGCAGCGACGCCGCGUGAGUGAAGAAGUAUUUCGGUAUGUAAAGCUCUAUCAGCAGGGAAGAAAAUGACGGUACCUGACUAAGAAGCCCCGGCUAACUACGUGCCAGCAGCCGCGGUAAUACGUAGGGGGCAAGCGUUAUCCGGAUUUACUGGGUGUAAAGGGAGCGUAGACGGCCAGACAAGUCAGACGUGAAAGCAC
rnacentral:rRNA from 1 species